AAGCAAGCUCCAGGAGGCA
rnacentral:misc_RNA from 1 species